AGGCCUAAUACAUGCAAGUUGAACGAGAUUCAGCGGAAAGUAGCAAUACCGGAAACUGAUGAGAGUAGCGCACGGGUGCGUAACACGUAUGCAACCUACCUUUAACCGGGACAUAACCUCGAGAAAUUGAAGCUAAUAUCCCAUGUGAUUGAUUUAUGGCAUCAUAGAUUAAUUAAAAUUCAGAUGGUUAAAGAUGGGCAUGCGUCCCAUUAGCUAGUUGGUGAGGUAACGGCUCACCAAGGCCACGAUGGGUAGGGGUUCUGAGAGGAUGAUCCCCCACACUGGUACUGAGACACGGACCAGACUCCUACGGGAGGCAGCAGUAAGGAAUAUUGGUCAAUGGACGCAAGUCUGAACCAGCCAUGCCGCGUGCAGGAAGACGGCCCUAUGGGUUGUAAACUGCUUUUGUACGGGAAGAACUACAUUUACGUGUAAAUGUUUGACGGUACCGUAAGAAUAAGGAUCGGCUAACUCCGUGCCAGCAGCCGCGGUAAUACGGAGGAUCCGAGCGUUAUCCGGAUUUAUUGGGUUUAAAGGGUGCGCAGGCGGGUAUAUAAGUCAGAGGUGAAAUUCCACGGCUCAACUGUGGGACUGCCUUUGAUACUGCAUAUCUAGAGUAUAUUUGGAGUGGGCGGAAUGUAGCAUGUAGCGGUGAAAUGCUUAGAUAUGCUACAGAACACCGAUCGUGAAGACAGCUCACUAAACUAUAACUGACGCUCAGGCACGAAAGCGUGGGGAGCAAACAGGAUUAGAUACCCUGGUAGUCCACGCCGUAAACGAUGAUUACUCGCUGUUGGCGAUACACAGUCAGCGGCUAAGCGAAAGUGAUAAGUAAUCCACCUGGGGAGUACGAUCGCAAGAUUGAA
rnacentral:rRNA from 1 species